UGGGGAAUUUUCCGCAAUGGGGGCAACCCUGACGGAGCAACGCCGCGUGGGGGAGGAAUGUCUGUGGAUUGUAAACCUCUUUUCUCAGGGAAGAAGAUUCUGACGGUACCUGAGGAAUCAGCAUCGGCUAACUCCGUGCCAGCAGCCGCGGUAAGACGGAGGAUGCAAGCGUUAUCCGGAAUUAUUGGGCGUAAAGCGUCCGUAGGCGGCCUGAUAAGUCUGCUGUUAAAGCUCACAGCUCAACUGUGAAUCGGCAGUGGAAACUAUCAAGCUAGAGCGUGGUAGGGGUAGAGGGAAUUCCUAGUGUAGCGGUGAAAUGCGUAGAUAUUAGGAAGAACACCAGUGGCGAAGGCGCUCUACUGGGCCAUGACUGACGCUGAUGGACGAAAGCUAGGGGAGCGAAAGGGAUUAGAUACCCCUGUAGUCC
rnacentral:rRNA from 1 species